AUUAUUCAAAGAAAAAAAUAGAAAAAAGAAGGGCAGCCGAGUUGGAGAGUCGAGUAAGGUCCCGUCGAGGUUCCUGUCCGCAGCUCCGUCAUUACAUCAAAAAUGAAAAUUACAAGUUACAAACAUAAAUAAAAUUAAAAAAAGUCCUAUCUAUGCAGUUUUCCUUGGCUCUUGACUUGCUAUUUCAUCACCCUAUUCUUCAAGCGGGCUCCUGACUUGCAAUUUCUUUAACUUGUUUCUUGACUUUCAAAUUCUCCACAUCGUUCUCUAGGAGGGCCCCUGACUUACUAUUUCUUCAAUCUGUUGCCUUUCAAUUUCUUUACCUUGUGGCUUAACUUUUCAUUUAUUUGCUCUGUUCUUCAGGCGGGCUCUUGAAAUCACAUCAAAACUAGAAAGAAAAUUAUUCAAAACAAAGAUUAUUAUAAAGAGAGAUUCCAUUUUCCAGAAAAGUAAAGUUCCAAACAAUAGGAAUUAAUUUUUUUUACCCUAGUUUAUCAUUAGAGGACUUUUGUGAAAGUCAUAUCAUAACUACUUAAAAAACCCAAACAAGGAAAUACAUCUUCUAUGGGUUAAUUGGAAUGAUUCGACUAGAAAGUGCGUUUUCUAGGAGUCAAAGGGAAUGACUUGACUAGAAAGUACGUUUUCUAGGAAUCAAGGAGAAUGACUCAACUAGGAAGUACAUCUUCUAGGAGUCAAGGAUAAUGACUCGACUAGAAGAUACAUCUUCUAGGAAUCAAGGGGACUAACUCGACUAGGAAGUACAUCUUCUAGGAAUCAAGGGGAAUGAUUCGAAUAGAAAGCACAUCUUUUAGGAAUCAAGGGGAAUGACUCGACUAGGAAGUAUAUCUUCUAGGAGUCAAGGGGAAUGACUCGAUCAGAAGGUACAAUUUCUAUGAAUCAAGGGGACUGACUUGACUAGGAAGUACAUCUUCUAGGAAUUAAGGAGAAUGUCUCGACUAUAAAGUGCAUCUUUUAUGAAUCAAGGGGAAUGACUCGACUAGGAAGUACAUCUUCUAGGAAUCAAAGGGAAUGACUCGACUAGGAGGUAUAUCUUCUAGGAGUCAAAGGGAAUGACUCGACUGGAAAGUACAUCUUCUAGGAAUUAAGGGAACUAACUCGACUAGGAAGUACAUCUUUUAGGAGUCACAGGGAAUGACUCAACCAAAAAAUACAUCUUUUAGGAAUCAAGGGGACUAACUCACUAGGAAGUACAUCUUCUAGGAAUCCAAGGGAAUGACUCAACUAGAAAGUACAUCUUCUAGGAAUCAAGGAGAAUGACUCGACUAGGAGUUACAUAUUCUAGGAGUCAAACGGAAUGACUCAAUUGGAAAGUACAUCUUCUAGGAAUCAAGGGGACUAACUCGACUAGGAAGUACAUCUAAGCAUAUGAACUUAAGUAGCAAAAGUAAAACAUCCUUGAAUGAACAAACUUUUUCUUGAAAAAUUGUACUAGGAACUCUAGCCUUCCAAAGCUCCUUUAAGCCCUUCCUCUAAAAUUAUUCUCAGAAAAACAAGCAUUCCAAAGUAGCUAUGGUUGGGAAAUGAGCUCCAAAUCAGGAGUUGCUUAGUUAUUAUAUUGUAUAAACAUAUACAAUUAUACGGAAACCAUAACUUGAAUCCACACUAGCAUUACAAGCCAUAAAUUCUCCAACUUUUAAUAUUGAUAAGCAAUAACGAUAAGUUGCAAAGUCAAAUAAUAUCCAGUACUAACAAAUUGUCACUCAACAAGACGAUGGAUCAAAAGCCUAAUCUUUGCAUUUGCUACUAAGCAACAAACAACUUAUAACAACAAUGCAGUGAAUAUAAUACAAUGUCACAACAAAUGUAAAAAAAAAAACAAAGCAAGGUACUCACUCAUAUUUUUGGCAAGCAAAACAGCACUAUGAUAACCAACAGUAACAUUAAACUUAAGAAAAUAAGCUCCUCUCUAAGCACCCUUUCUCUUCCAUAUUUUUGCACUAGAAUUUACCACUCUUAGAAUAAACCAAAAUGAAACUACAAAAUUCUCAUUCAACGAGCCUCCUACAAACACAAUAUUCUUAUUCCUCAUUGAACCCAAGAACCCAACUAGGUCGACUCAUUUUAAAUCAUACUCAUUGGGCCUCAAUUUCAAAGAAUUGAUCUAACCCAUAUUUUCCCUUUGAUUUCUGAGACAAUUCCAAACAUUCCUAUGAAAGGGGCAGGAUUCAUCGAAAAUAGAUUUUUGAUUUGGGUCGGUCACCCAUUUGCCUUUGAAAAGAUUACAAGAAGAGGGUAAAAUAGGAAUUUUGGAUUUUGAAGAAUUAGGAGGAGGAGUUUAAAGAGUAAUUUGGGUGAUUUGACCAAUUUGAGCAAUUUGAUCAAAAAGGUUUUGAGAUAAAAAAGGAAGGUGAAUUUACAACUGUUUUGAUUUGGGCAAAAGAAUUUUGGGAGAGAAAGAGGGAAGUGCGUUCACAACUGUUUUACGCAAAUGGAAGUUGGAUUUUGUAUUUUUUUUAUUAAAUAUAAAAAGAAAUUUGUAUUUAAAAAAAAAUCUUGACCACUUUGACCAAAAUAAAGAGAUUUCAUGAGGUGACUGUUAUAAUUUCUUUUAAAGUAAUUAAAAAGUUUAGGACCUAACUUUUUAGAAUUUAUUUUCGAUCUCAUAAAGUCACUAUUAUUGUUUUAUGAUUCUUUAUCAUUAACUAAUCUCAUGAGGUUUCUCCUUUUAAAAAGAAAAUUGAAAAAUAAAUUAAGGACAUAAGCGACCUCAUGAGGUUUCUUAUUUUUGACCUAUUCUUGAGGUCUCUUAUUUUAGGUCUUUUUAUUUAGCUUUCUUAGUAGUGUAUCCUACAACCUAGGUAAGACUAACGGGACAAGUUUUGGAUUCAACACACUGAGAACAAAGUAAGCAUCUCACACAUAUAUGACACUGGGUUGCAUCACAAACAACCACCUAUUCGGUUCAUGCAAAAGUUAGCUAUGAUUAUUAUGUUCCUAAUAAUAAUGCCAUAAUGAGAUUGACAAUGAUCACAUAUAUAUACACAUAUCACACAAUUCAAAAAAAUAAAUUUUUUGGAGGGGUAUAAUUUUUCUCAAAAACACUUUAAGUACAAACAAACAAAACACCCCAACUUCCUUAGGUACUCAUUUUUCACCUAGUUAAUUAAAAACAAAAUUAAAUGUCACAAAACAAGACACAAUACAUCCUAAACAUGUCGGCUCUACUAAGAACAAACUCCAAAGAAAAGAGACACGACAAUAAAAAUUCCAAGAGAAAAUCUAGACCCACAAGUAGCCCCACCCCAACUUUUGAACAUGCACUGACCUUAAUGCAUUGGGCCGCUACAAAAUAAGAGAGAUAGGAACAUACUUAUGGCACCUUAGGUUCUUAGAUCUGACAUCAAUCACACUAAUAUAAAUUAACAAAAAUGCACAAAUAACAAGAUACCUUGGGUUUUCUCUCAAGCAACGCUUGAUCUAAUGUCGCAGCACGAUGUGGAUACCUUGAUUACUCAGACUUCAUCAAGGUAUCCAAAGGGAUGACCUCCAAUUUUUCUUUCCACUUUGAA
rnacentral:lncRNA from 1 species